rnacentral:pre_miRNA from 1 species
AGCUUUUUGAAUCCGUGCUGAGAUUUCGUCAGACACCAGUCCAUGAGGGCUGAUCAAACUUUCAAGAUAAAUGAAGCU